UGGGGAAUCUUCCGCAAUGGACGAAAGUCUGACGGAGCAACGCCGCGUGUAUGAUGAAGGUCUUCGGAUUGUAAAGUACUGUCUUUGGGGAAGAAUGACGGAUUUGAAAAUAUUGAGUCCGUAUGACGGUACCCAAGGAGGAAGCCCCGGCUAACUACGUGCCAGCAGCCGCGGUAAUACGUAGGGGGCAAGCGUUGUCCGGAAUUAUUGGGCGUAAAGGGCGCGUAGGCGGAUGUUUAAGUCCGGUGUGAAAGAUCAGGGCUCAACCCUGAGAGUGCAUCGGAAACUGGGCAUCUUGAGGACAGGAGAGGAAAGUGGAAUUCCUAGUGUAGCGGUGAAAUGCGUAGAUAUUAGGAGGAACACCAGUGGCGAAGGCGACUUUCUGGACUGUAACUGACGCUGAGGCGCGAAAGCGUGGGGAGCAAACAGG
rnacentral:rRNA from 1 species